AUGACCGACCUGCGGGACGAGGAUUCCGGAUCCUAUUUCUGUGCCCGAUCUGGCUCUGGCCACACCCACUUUGAGGCCCCUGACCAAUCAGGUUUCCCACCCCCAUGUCCCCUUGUCCCCGCAGGGCUCCGGGCGGCCGUGACCCUGCUGGAGUGCGGGGGGGACCUCCAGCCCCCCGGGGGGUCCCUGCGCCUCCUCUGCCGAGGGACUGGGUUCAGUUUUGGGAGUUUUGGGAUGGGCUGGAUCCGCCAGAGACCCGGGCAGGGGCUGGAAUUCGUCGCAAGGAUCAGUGACAGUGGUGGUUACACCGACUACGCGCCAUCGCUCCAGGGCCGGGUCAGGAUCUCCAGGGACAAUGGGCAGAGCUCGGUGACGCUGACCAUGACCGACCUCCGGGACGAGGAUUCCGGAUCCUAUUUCUGUGCCAAAGCCUCUUGCUCUGGGUGUGUUCCUGCUGCUGGUUAUGGUGACCACGCCCGCCAUGGCACCGAGCUCCUGGUUCUGGCUCCCUUCCCAUAACAGAGUCCCCAAACU